rnacentral:rRNA from 1 species
CAGCCGCCGCGGUAAUACGUAGGGGGCGAGCGUUGUCCGGAAUUAUUGGGCGUAAAGCGCGCGCAGGCGGUCCCUUAAGUCUGAUGUGAAAGCCCACGGCUCAACCGUGGAGAGUCAUUGGAAACUGGGGGACUUGAGUGCAGAAGAGGAGAGCGGAAUUCCACGUGUAGCGGUGAAAUGCGUAGAGAUGUGGAGGAACACCAGUGGCGAAGGCGGCUCUCUGGUCUGUAACUGACGCUGAGGCGCGAAAGCGUGGGGAGCAAACAUGAUUAGAUACCCUGGUAGUCCACGCCGUAAACGAUGAGUGCUAAGUGUUAGAGGGGUUAAACCCUUUAGUGCUGUAGCUAACGCGUUAAGCACUCCGCCUGGGGAGUACGGCCGCAAGGCUGAAACUUAAGGAAUUGGCGGG